AUUGAACGCUGGCGGCAGGCCUAACACAUGCCAGUCGAACGGUAACAGGAAACAGCUUGCUGUUUCGCUGACGAGUGGCGGACGGGUGAGUAAUGUCUGGGAAACUGCCUGAUGGAGGGGGAUAACUACUGGAAACGGUAGCUAAUACCGCAUAACGUCGCAAGACCAAAGAGGGGGACCCUCGGGCCUCUUGCCAUCGGAUGCGCCCAGAUGGGAUUAGCUUGUUGGUGGGGUAACGGCUCACCAAGGCGACGAUCCCUAGCUGGUCUGAGAGGAUGACCGGCCACACUGGAACUGAGACACGGUCCAGACUCCUACGGGAGGCAGCAGUGGGGAAUAUUGCACAAUGGGCGCAAGCCUGAUGCAGCCAUGCCGCGUGUAUGAAGAAGGCCUUCGGGUUGUAAAGUACUUUCAGCGGGGAGGAAGGGAGUAAAGUUAACACCUUUGCUCAUUGACGUUACCCGCAGAAGAAGCACCGGCUAACUCCGUG
rnacentral:rRNA from 1 species